rnacentral:rRNA from 1 species
UACGUAGGUGGCAAGCGUUGUCCGGAAUUACUGGGUGUAAAGCGCGUGUAGGCGGGAGGCCAAGUCUGCUGUGAAAUCGCCCGGCUCAACUGGGCGGGGUCGGUGGAAACUGGUCACCUGGAGGACGGUAGAGGCGAGUGGAAUUCCCGGUGUAGUGGUGAAAUGCGUAGAGAUCGGGAGGAACACCAGUUGCGAAGGCGGCUCUCUGGACCAGCACUGACACUGAGGCACGAAAGCGUGGGGAGCAAACAGGG